CAGCCGCCGCGGUAAUACGAAGGGGGCUAGCGUUGCUCGGAAUCACUGGGCGUAAAGGGUGCGUAGGCGGGUCUUUAAGUCAGGGGUGAAAUCCUGGAGCUCAACUCCAGAACUGCCUUUGAUACUGAAGAUCUUGAGUUCGGGAGAGGUGAGUGGAACUGCGAGUGUAGAGGUGAAAUUCGUAGAUAUUCGCAAGAACACCAGUGGCGAAGGCGGCUCACUGGCCCGAUACUGACGCUGAGGCACGAAAGCGUGGGGAGCAAACAGGAUUAGAGACCCCUGUAGUCCCUGUCUCUUAUAC
rnacentral:rRNA from 1 species